GACGAACGCUGGCGGCGUGCUUAACACAUGCAAGUCGAACGGUGAAGGGACCGGUUUUUGCUGGUUCUGGAUGAGUGGCGAACGGGUGAGUAACACGUGAGUAACCUGCCCCCUUCUUCUGGAUAACCGCAUGAAAGUGUGGCUAAUACGGGAUAUUCUGCGCCUGCUGCAUGGUGGGUGUGGGAAAGAUAUUGUUUCGGUGGGGGAUGGGCUCGCGGCCUAUCAGCUUGUUGGUGGGGUGAUGGCCUACCAAGGCGGUGACGGGUAGCCGGCCUGAGAGGGUGGACGGUCACACUGGGACGGAGACACGGCCCAGACUCCUACGGGAGGCAGCAGUGGGGAAUAUGGCACAAUGGGCGCAAGCCUGAUGCAGCGACGCCGCGUGAGGGAUGGAGGCCUUCGGGUUGUAAACCUCUUUCGCCAGUGAAGCAGGCCUGUCCCUUGUGUGGGUGGGUUGACGGUAGCUGGAGAAGAAGCGCCGGCUAACUACGUG
rnacentral:rRNA from 1 species